UGGGGAAUAUUGGGCAAUGGGCGCAAGCCUGACCCAGCAACGCCGCGUGAAGGAAGAAGGCUUUCGGGUUGUAAACUUCUUUUGUCGGGGACGAGUAGAAGACGGUACCUGGCGAAUAAGCCACGGCUAACUACGUGCCAGCAGCCGCGGUAAUACGUAGGUGGCAAGCGUUGUCCGGAUUUACUGGGUGUAAAGGGCGUGUAGCCGGGAAGGCAAGUCAGAUGUGAAAUCCACGGGCUUAACUCGUGAACUGCAUUUGAAACUACUUUUCUUGAGUAUCGGAGAGGCAAUCGGAAUUCCUAGUGUAGCGGUGAAAUGCGUAGAUAUUAGGAGGAACACCAGUGGCGAAGGCGGAUUGCUGGACGACAACUGACGGUGAGGCGCGAAAGCGUGGGGAGCAAACAGG
rnacentral:rRNA from 1 species